AGAGCGAACGCUGGCGGCAGGCCUAACACAUGCAAGUCGAACGCCCAGCAAUGGGAGUGGCAGACGGGAUAGUAACACGUGGGAACGCGCCCUUCGGUUCGGAAUAACUCAGGGAAACUUGAGCUAAUACCGGAUACGCCCUUACGGGGAAAGAUUUAUUGCCGAAGGAACGGCCCGCGUCGGAUUAGCUAGUUGGUGAGGUAAUGGCUCACCAAGGCGACGAUCCGUAGCUGGUCUGAGAGGAUGACCAGCAUCACUGGGACUGAGACACGGCCCAGACUCCUACGGGAGGCAGCAGUGGGGAAUAUUGGACAAUGGGCGCAAGCCUGAUCCAGCCAUGCCGCGUGGAUGAUGAAGGCCCUAGGGUUGUAAAGUCCUUUUAACGGGAAGAUAAUGACGGUACCGUAGAAUAAGCCCGGCUAACUUCGUGCCAGCAGCCGC
rnacentral:rRNA from 1 species